GCUUACGGCCACACCCCCCGGGCACGCCCGAUCUCGUCUGAUCUCGGAAGCUAAGCAGGGUCGGGCCCGGUUAGUACUUGGAUGGGAGACCGCCUGGGAAUACCAGUGCUGUAAGCC
rnacentral:rRNA from 1 species